rnacentral:rRNA from 1 species
CCUACGGGAGGCAGCAGUCGAGAAUCAUUCACAAUGGGGGAAACCCUGAUGGUGCGACGCCGCGUGGGGGAAUGAAGGUCUUCGGAUUGUAAACCCCUGUCAUGUGGGAGCAAAUUAAAAAGAUAGUACCACAAGAGGAAGAGACGGCUAACUCGGUGCCAGCAGCCGCGGUAAUACAGCGGUCGCAAGGUGUGUUCGGAAUGACUGGGCGUAAAGCGUGCGUAGGCUGUUUCGUAAGUCGUGUGUGAAAGGCGCGGGCUCAACCCGCGGACGGCACAUGAUACUGCGAGACUAGAGUAAAGGAGAGGGAACCGGAAUUCUCGGUGUAGCAGUGAAAUGCGUAGAUAUCGAGAGGAACACUCGUGGCGAAGGCGGGUUCCUGGACAUUAACUGACGCUGAGGCACGAAGGCCAGGGGAGCGAAAGGGAUUAGAUACCCCUGUAGUC